rnacentral:rRNA from 1 species
AGAGUUUGAUCCUGGCUCAGGAUGAACGCUAGCGACAGGCUUAACACAUGCAAGUCGAGGGGCAGCGGGGGCGAAGCUUGCUUCGCCUGCCGGCGACCGGCGCACGGGUGAGUAACACGUAUGCGACCUGCCCCCCGCAGGGGGAUAACCGGGAGAAAUCCCGACUAAUACCGCGUAACGCCGCUGGGCUGCAUGGCCCGGCGGCCAAAGGAAGCGAUUCCGGCGGGGGAUGGGCAUGCGGCGCAUUAGCUAGUCGGCGGGGUAACGGCUCACCGAGGCGACGAUGCGUAGGGGUUCUGAGAGGAAGGUCCCCCACACUGGUACUGAGACACGGACCAGACUCCUACGGGAGGCAGCAGUGAGGAAUAUUGGUCAAUGGGCGGGAGCCUGAACCAGCCAAGUCGCGUGAGGGAAGACGGUCCUACGGAUUGUAAACCUCUUUUGCCGGGGAGCAACGGGGUCCUUGCGAGGGCCCGAUGAGAGUACCCGGAGAAAAAGCAUCGGCUAACUCCGUGCCAGCAGCCGCGGUAAUACGGAGGAUGCGAGCGUUAUCCGGAUUUAUUGGGUUUAAAGGGUGCGUAGGCGGGCUGUUAAGUCAGCGGUCAAAUGUCGGGGCUCAACCCCGGCCUGCCGUUGAAACUGGCGGCCUCGAGUGGGCGAGAAGUAUGCGGAAUGCGUGGUGUAGCGGUGAAAUGCAUAGAUAUCACGCAGAACUCCGAUUGCGAAGGCAGCAUACCGGCGCCCGACUGACGCUGAGGCACGAAAGCGUGGGUAUCGAACAGGAUUAGAUACCCUGGUAGUCCACGCAGUAAACGAUGAAUGCUAGCUGUCCGGUUCUUCGGGACUGGGUGGCACAGGGAAAGCGUUAAGCAUUCCAUCUGGGGGAGUACGCCGGCAACGGUGAAACUCAAAGGAAUUGACGGGGGCCCGCACAAGCGGAGGAACAUGUGGUUUAAUUCGAUGAUACGCGAGGAACCUUACCCGGGCUCAAACGCCAAAGGACAGCCGCUGAAAGGCGGCCUCCCUCCGGGGUCUUUGGCGAGGUGCUGCAUGGUUGUCGUCAGCUCGUGCCGUGAGGUGUCGGCUUAAGUGCCAUAACGAGCGCAACCCCCAUCGACAGUUGCUAACGGGUGAUGCCGAGGACUCUGUCGAGACUGCCGGCGCAAGCUGCGAGGAAGGCGGGGAUGACGUCAAAUCAGCACGGCCCUUACGUCCGGGGCGACACACGUGUUACAAUGGCCGGUACAGCGGGAUGCCAGGGCGCGAGCCCGAGCGGAACCCGAAAACCGGUCUCAGUUCGGAUUGGAGUCUGCAACCCGACUCCAUGAAGCUGGAUUCGCUAGUAAUCGCGCAUCAGCCACGGCGCGGUGAAAAGGUUCCCGGGCCUUGUACUCACCGCCCGUCA